rnacentral:rRNA from 1 species
AACGAAGCACUUCAUAAAGUUUACUUUAAGAAGUGACUUAGUGGCGGACGGGUGAGUAACGCGUGGGUAACCUGCCUUACACAGGGGGAUAACAGUUAGAAAUAGCUGCUAAUACCGCAUAAGCGCACGGUUCCGCAUGGAACAGUGUGAAAAACUCCGGUGGUGUGAGAUGGACCCGCGUCUGAUUAGCUGGUUGGCGGGGUAACGGCCCACCAAGGCGACGAUCAGUAGCCGACCUGAGAGGGUGACCGGCCACAUUGGGACUGAGAUACGGCCCAGACUCC